GCUUGCUUCCUAGAGACCGGCGCACGGGUGCGUAACGCGUAUGCAAUCUACCUUUUGCAGAGGGAUAGCCCAGAGAAAUCUGGAUUAAUACCUCAUAGUAUGUGAGAAUGGCAUCAUUUUCACAUUAAAGUCACAACGGCAAAAGAUGAGCAUGCGUCCCAUUAGCUAGUUGGUAAGGUAACGGCUUACCAAGGCAACGAUGGGUAGGGGUCCUGAGAGGGAGAUCCCCCACACUGGUACUGAGACACGGACCAGACUCCUACGGGAGGCAGCAGUGAGGAAUAUUGGACAAUGGGCGCAAGCCUGAUCCAGCCAUGCCGCGUGCAGGAUGACGGUCCUAUGGAUUGUAAACUGCUUUUGUACAGGAAGAAACACUGGUUCGUGAACCAGCUUGACGGUACUGUAAGAAUAAGGAUCGGCUAACUCCGUGCCAGCAGCCGCGGUAAUACGGAGGAUCCAAGCGUUAUCCGGAAUCAUUGGGUUUAAAGGGUCCGUAGGCGGUUUAGUAAGUCAGUGGUGAAAGCCCAUCGCUCAACAAUGGAACUGCCAUUGAUACUGUAAGACUUGAAUACUUAGGAAGUACUAGAAUAUGUAGUGUAGCGGUGAAUGCUUAGAUAUUACAUGGAAACCAAUUGCGAAGGCGGUACUACUAAUGAUUGA
rnacentral:rRNA from 1 species